rnacentral:ncRNA from 1 species
CGACCUCAGAUCAGGCGGGACUACCCGCCGGAUUUAAGCAUAUUAAUAAGCGGAGGAAAAGAAAACAACCGUGAUUCCCUUAGUAGCGGCGAGCGAACCGGGAAAAGCCCAUCGCCGAAUCUCGCCGCGCACUUUUGUGUCGCGGCACGUAUGAGAGUUGUGGCGUACGGGCCGGCCUCGUUGCCGGGGCGCACGUGACGGUCCAAGUCUCCCUUGAACGGGGCCAUGGCCCGCAGAUGGUGCCAGGCCAGUAGAGGCCGUCACAGCGUUCCGGGGAUCGGACCGCGCCUUCGAGUCGGGUUGCUUGAGAGUGCAGCCCGAAGCGGGUGGUAAACUCCAUCUAAGGCUAAAUACGGCCACGAGACCGAUAGUUUACAAGUACCGUGAGGGAAAGUUGAAAAGAACUUUGAAGAGAGAGUUCAUAAGAACGUGAAACCGCUCGGUUGUAAACGGACAGAGCUCGCGAAUCCCCGCCGGGCGAAUUCACGGUCGGUCUAACCGCCGGCCGGAUCUUUCGCUCGGUUAGCGGACGUCGCGACCCGUUGGGCGCCGGCCGAAUGGCCCGGGUGACGUUCGUCGCGUCGGUCGCGUUUCGGCGUGACCGUUCGCGCCGAGCCCCGGUGCUCAUGGUCGGCUCGCCCGACGGCAAGAACCGUCGACGCGGCCCCGUCGCAGGCGGGGUCCCGUCGGUCGGCGACGUGUUUCGAGCUACUUUCCGACCCGUCUUGAAACACGGACCAAGGAGUCUAACGUGUGCGCGAGUCAACGGUGAUCUACGAAAAACCACG